rnacentral:lncRNA from 1 species
CAUAUUUAGGAAGAUUGCACGCGUUCGUUGCGAAAAAAUCCACCCGAGUUUCGCUACCCGGCAAUAGUGCAUUCGGGUGCCGAAAUGCACCCGUUUUGCAUCGUUUUUCGUCCCGGAACCGAUUGCUCAAAAACACUCCCAAACAUGUUCUAGGGUCUAAUUAGGAAGAUUGCAUGCGUUCGUUGCGAAAAAAUCCACCCGAGUUUCGCUACCCGGCAAUAGUGCAUUCGGGUGCCGAAAUGCACCCGUUUUGCAUCGUUUUU